UACGGAGGGUGCGAGCGUUGUCCGGAAUCACUGGGCGUAAAGGGCGCGUAGGCGGCGCGGGAAGUCAACGGUGAAAGCUUGGGGCUCAACCCCGAGUCGGCCGUCGAUACUCCCGUGCUUGAGCACUGUAGAGGCAGGUGGAAUUCCGGGUGUAGCGGUGGAAUGCGUAGAGAUCCGGAAGAACACCGGUGGCUAAGGCGGCUCUCUAGUACGGUACUGACGCUGAGACGCGAAAGCGUGGGGAGCGAACAGG
rnacentral:rRNA from 1 species